rnacentral:lncRNA from 1 species
AGUGCAAAUUGCAGAAAAGGCUAUUUUAAAGUCUAUUCAUACAUUCUUGCCGGCAACAUUGGAAGUGAUAAAUUUGGAUGGAUUUUGAGAGUUUUGAUGCUCAAUGCGAAGUUGUGGCAGUAGCUUUAGGAGCAGUUUUAUGGAUUAUUGGAAUUUUUGAUCCGGCACACUUGUUUGGUGAAACUCGUUGCUGGAGGGGUUAGACGUGAAGGAUAUUCAAAACAGGCAUCACUGUUUUUAAGGCCUGAUCCAGAGGCCAAUUUUUUCAAAGGGUACCUUGUCCCCUUUAUCCAUCCGGCUUCCGGCAGUCGGGACUCUGUUAUUUUCACCUCAUGGCAAGCGAGAUGUAGGCGGC